GCUGGGCAUAGUGGCAUUUGCCUGUGGUCCUAGUUACUAAGAAGGCUGAGGCAGGAGGAACAUUUGAGCCUAGGAGUUUGAGACUAGCCUGGGCAACAUAGACCCAGUCUCAA
rnacentral:sRNA from 1 species